CCAUGUUGCUCUUUGAGACAGAGUGAUACUCUGUCUCGAAAAAAAAAAAAGAAAAGAUAAAUUCAGCUGAUAUUACAGUGUUCCCAUGUACCUCGUCUACCUCCACACAGGAUUUCUCCAUUAGCAUCUUUAAUUAGUAUGGUAUGUUUGUUACAAUUGAUGAGCCAAUACUGAUACAUUAUUAUAAACUAAAGUCCAUAGUUUACAUUAGGGCUCAUUUUUUGUGUUAUAUAGUUGUAUGAGUUUUGACAAAUGUAUAAUGUCAUGUAGCCACCAUUGCCAUGUUGUACAGAACAGUUUCACUGCCCUAAAAAUCCCUUGUGUUCCACCUAUUUAUCUCUCCCUCUUUCUCUCCAAACCCCUGGCAACCACUGAUCUUUUUGCUUUCUCUAUAGUUUUGUGUUUUCCAAGUGACAUAUAUUUAGCAUACAGUAUGUAACCUUUUCAGACUGUUCUUUUACUUUACAAUAUCCAUGUAAGAUUCCUCUAUGUCUUUU
rnacentral:lncRNA from 10 species